UACGUAGGGGGCUAGCGUUGUCCGGAAUCAUUGGGCGUAAAGCGCGCGUAGGCGGCCCGGUAAGUCCGUUGUGAAAGUCAAAGGCUCAACCUUUGAAAGCCGAUGGAUACUGCCGGGCUGGAGUCCGGAAGAGGCGAGUGGAAUUCCUGGUGUAGCGGUGGAAUGCGUAGAUAUCUGGAGGAACACCGGUGGCGAAGGCGGCAUCCUGGACCAACACUGACGCUGAGGAGCGAAAGCCAGGGGAGCAAACGGG
rnacentral:rRNA from 1 species